rnacentral:lncRNA from 1 species
UGUGAUUUAAAUUAAUAUUUUAUAUUACUGUUUAUUUCACUAACUUUUGUGCAACACUUCAAUCAUCUAAAAUCACAACAUAUACUAUAUCAUUUGACCAUAUCAAUUGUAAGGGCUCAAUUUCGUCCGGCCCAAUACCAAAAAUAAAUAAACAAAAUAUAAAAACCAAAAAUAAAAAAAUCCAAGUCCAUUUACAAAAUAAUGGGCCAAAUACAAAACCCUAACCCAAUGUUACACAAGCCCAAAGCCCAACAACUAAAACUUUUCAAAAAAACUAAAAAAAACCUAGCCUCCAGCGUUGCUCCCUCGCAGGCACGCCACUUGAUCCCCUCGCCCUAAGGUCUGCCUUCUCUGCCACCAUUUCACCAAAAUGGCAAGGGCAUGCUUCUCCCAUCAUCGUUGACCACCAUUGCAACCUACAAAAAAGAAAUAAAAGAGACAGAAAGUAGCAUAGCAGAGCAGAGACAAAAAGAAAAAAGGGAAGUAUUGUAAUUAAAACGGCUAUAAAG